rfam:Dipodomys ordii contig_41985, whole genome shotgun sequence.
GGAAAGGUGGCUCAGUGGUAGAGUACUUGCUUCACAUGCAUGAGGACCUGGGUUCGAUUCCUCAGUACCA